AACGAACGCUGGCGGCAUGCCUAACACAUGCAAGUCGAACGAGAUCUUCGGGUCUAGUGGCGCACGGGUGCGUAACGCGUGGCAAUCUGCCCUUUGGUUCGGAAUAACAGUUGGAAACGACUGCUAAUACCGGAUGAUGACGAAAGUCCAAAGAUUUAUCGCCAGAGGAUGAGCCCGCGUAGGAUUAGCUAGUUGGUGUGGUAAAGGCGCACCAAGGCGACGAUCCUUAGCUGGUCUGAGAGGAUGAUCAGCCACACUGGGACUGAGACACGGCCCAGACUGCGGCGGGAGGGAGAAGUGGGGAAGAUUGGACAAUGGGCGAAAGCCUGAGCCAACAAUGCCGCGUGAGUGAUGAAGGCCUUAGGGUUGUAAAGCUCUUUUACCCGGGAUGAUAAUGACAGUACCGGGAGAAUAAGCGCCGGCUAACUCCGUGCCAGCCGCCGCCGUAA
rnacentral:rRNA from 1 species